UACGUACCGUACGAACGUUAUUCGGAAUUACUGGGCUUAAAGGGUUUGUAGGCGGCUUUGUAAGUGGGGUGUGAAAUCCCUCGGCUCAACCGAGGAAUAGCGCUCCAAACUGCAAGGCUUGAGGGAGACAGGGGUAAGCGGAACUGAUGGUGGAGCGGUGAAAUGCGUUGAUAUCAUCAGGAACACCGGUGGCGAAAGCGGCUUACUGGGUCUCUUCUGACGCUGAGGAACGAAAGCUAGGGUAGCGAACGGG
rnacentral:rRNA from 1 species